GUGCUUGCUUGGGCAGCACAUACACUAAAAUUAGAACAAGACAGAGAAGAUCAGCAUGAUCCCUGUGCAAGGAUAACGCACAAAUUUGUGAAGCAUUCCAUAUUUUU
ensembl:snRNA U6 U6 spliceosomal RNA